rnacentral:rRNA from 1 species
CAGCAGCCGCGGUAAUACGUAGGUGGCAAGCGUUGUCCGGAGUUAUUGGGCGUAAAGGGCUCGCAGGCGGUUUCUUAAGUCUGAUGUGAAAGCCCCCGGCUCAACCGGGGAGGGUCAUUGGAAACUGGGAAACUUGAGUGCAAGAGGGGAGAGUGGAAUUCCAUGUGUAGCGGUGAAAUGCGUAGAUAUAUGGAGGAACACCGGUGGCGAAAGCGGCUCUCUGGCUUGUAACUGACGCUGAGGCUCGAAAGCGUGGGGAGCAAACAGGAUUAGAUACCCCCGUAGUCCCUGUCUCUUAUAC